GGGCGAUUAGCUCAGCUGGUAGAGCGCUACGUUUACACCGUAGAAGUCGGCGGUUCGAAUCCGUCAUCGCCCACCA
rnacentral:tRNA from 1 species